GCUGGGUGUGGUGGUGCAUGCCUGUAGUCCCAGCUACUUAGGAGGCUGAGGCAGGAGGAUUGCUUGGGUCCAGGAGUUCAAGGCUGCAGUUAGCUAUGAUUGUGGCACUGCACUCCAUGUACUCAAGCCUGGGCCACAGAGCAAGACCCUGUCUCUU
ensembl:misc_RNA Metazoa_SRP Metazoan signal recognition particle RNA